UGCAAGGAGCCCGAUGUAGGACUCGACCCCGGGACCCCAGGAUCACACCCUGAGCCAAAGACCACUGGCACUAGAUAACUCCAGGCCAAGACCCCCCAGCUUCAGGGAAUGAGUGACAUGAAAGACACCUGCGUCCUACCGUUGUUCUGACUAAUUCCAGGAUGCCUGAGAGGACCCGCACACCAGAUGACAAUCCCCAAUAAAAAACCCAGAAAAGAUGA